rnacentral:rRNA from 1 species
UACGUAGGGCGCGAGCGUUGUCCGGAAUCAUUGGGCGUAAAGAGCUCGUAGGCGGCCUGUCGCGUCUGCUGUGAAAUCCCGGGGCUCAACCCCGGGCGUGCAGUGGAUACGGGCUGGCUGGAGGCAGGCAGGGGAGAACGGAAUUCCCGGUGUAGCGGUGAAAUGCGCAGAUAUCGGGAGGAACACCGGUGGCGAAGGCGGUUCUCUGGGCCUGUACUGACGCUGAGGAGCGAAAGCGUGGGGAGCGAACAGG